GGAACUCUAGUAAAUAUUACAUCAUUUUGUCAUAAUGAAAUUGCAAGUGAAAACCUUGCGAGCUCCC
rnacentral:tRNA from 1 species